rnacentral:rRNA from 1 species
GACGAACGCUGGCGGCGUGCCUAAUACAUGCAAGUUGAGCGCUGAAGGUUGGUACUUGUACCGACUGGAUGAGCAGCGAACGGGUGAGUAACGCGUGGGGAAUCUGCCUUUGAGCGGGGGACAACAUUUGGAAACGAAUGCUAAUACCGCAUAAAAACUUUAAACACAAGUUUUAAGUUUGAAAGAUGCAAUUGCAUCACUCAAAGAUGAUCCCGCGUUGUAUUAGCUAGUUGGUGAGGUAAAGGCUCACCAAGGCGAUGAUACAUAGCCGACCUGAGAGGGUGAUCGGCCACAUUGGGACUGAGACCCGGCCCAAACUCCUACGGGAGGCAGCAGUAGGGCAUCUUCGGCAAUGGGCGAAAGUCUGACCGAGCAACGCCGCGUGAGUGAAGAAGGUUUUCGGAUCGUAAAACUCUGUUGGUAGGGAAGAACGUUGGUGAGAGUGGAAAGCUCAUCAAGUGACGGUAACUACCCAGAAAGGGACGGCUAACUACGUG